UACGUAGGGUGCAAGCGUUAAUCGGAAUUACUGGGCGUAAAGCGUGCGCAGGCGGUGAUGUAAGACAGAUGUGAAAUCCCCGGGCUCAACCUGGGAACUGCAUUUGUGACUGCAUCGCUGGAGCGCGGCAGAGGGGGAUGGAAUUCCGCGUGUAGCAGUGAAAUGCGUAGAUAUGCGGAGGAACACCGAUGGCGAAGGCAAUCCCCUGGGCCUGCACUGACGCUCAUGCACGAAAGCGUGGGGAGCAAACAGG
rnacentral:rRNA from 1 species